rnacentral:rRNA from 1 species
AGUGAACGCUGGCGGUAGGCCUAACACAUGCAAGUCGAACGGCAGCACAGUAAGAGCUUGCUCUUACGGGUGGCGAGUGGCGGACGGGUGAGGAAUACAUCGGAAUCUACUUUUUCGUGGGGUAUAACGUAGGGAAACUUACGCAAAUACCGCAUACGACCUACGGGUGAAAGCAGUGGAUCUUUGGACCUUGCGCGAUUGAAUGAGCCGAUGUCGGCUUAGCAAGUUGGUGGGGUAAAGGCCCACCAAUGCGACGUUCCGUAGCUGGUCUGACUGUAUGACCAGCCACACUGGGACUGAGACACGGUUCUGACUCUAACAGGAUGCAACGGUUGUGAAUAUUGUGCAGUGGGCGGAAGCCUUAUCCAGCCGUACCGCAUAGGUGAGGAAGUCCUACUCUGUCUAGAGCCCUUUUUUUGGGAAAGAAAAGCAGCGGAUUAAUACCCCGCUGUUCUGGCGUUACCCAAAGAAUAAGCACCGGCUAACUUCGUG